AAAGUAGUGGGCGUGCUCUUACUAGAAUUAUUAGCUGUGCUUGCUGCUUCUGUGUUUGGUAUGGGAAACAAAUAUGUUAUUAUUAUUUUUGUGGUGGUUCAACUGUUACCAGAGCUUCUGCUUGCAAGUUUGGCAAAGACUAAAUAAUUCAUAGUUUUCGCUGCUUAUUAGAACUUGUGACACUUUGUAUUUUUUCUGGAGGGUGUGGGCAAUAAGCCCGUAGUUACAACUGGAGUCUCUGCUCCCUUUAUUUCAUUAGUGAAAACCCGCCCUGCAAGAGCUUGUGUUCAGCCUCCUGCUGCCUGCUUGCAGUGGUGGGACUUUGCUUUACAAGGCGGCGCUCCGCCAUGCCGCAGAGACUCCACGCUCAAAGGUGUCCAUUAGAUUUACACUUAGGAGCCCAAUAUGGAAAAUAAGUGCUUAAAGCCACGGAAAGUCUUUUGGAAGAUUUUGGUAGGAAUUAAUGUUACAGUCACUGGUAUGAGCCGCCAUAUUUCAUUUAUAGCCAUUCCUCUACCUCUCCACAUAUAAGUAUACAGAGAUCCAAUGUGAGAUAGACAGCAGUUCUGUGAAAAUAAAGGAAAACAAUUCUUUUAUACCAUUAGAAAAAUAAUGUAUUUAUAUUUUUUUUAAAGUCAGCCACCACCUCUCUGGAAUGCGUAUUAGACGGUAGAUAAAAAAGUUGUGUCUCUUGGGAUUUAUACUGUGCAGCUGUGCCCCCCUAAACCCCACUCCUGCACUGGCUAACACACUAGGCUCAGCAAAUAUAUGAGCUUUGAUUGGCUAAACAUGGUGUCAGUCUGCUCACAUAAAUGGUUUUACUUUCCUGCCUUGACCAAAGUAUUGAAUUGUACUGCUAAAAGGUAAGAGACAAUCAUGUGAGUUGUGUGUCUUUCAUUGCCCUUUCUCUGAUCACAAAAAGUCCAGCAAAGCACAGUUGUGACUUUAGAAUCCCUUGACUUGGCAUGUUAUUGGUGUAUACAAGUCUUAUUGUGCAUGUUUCUUGAUAAAUCAGCAAUGACCAUUAGCCUUGUUCAGAGUUUCAUAUUCUUCCAAUAUUAUUAGGACUAAUAGUUUGUACUCCUUCCUUAUGCUUUAAUAAAUACUUAGAAGUGCUCGCUCCUCAUAGCCUGACUAAGAGCUUACCACAUCUAAACAAGCUCUCAUGCUAUUCACCCUCCUCCCCCACAGUUGCCUCCUCAGUCUAUAUCCUGUCCGCCCCCUCAGAACUCCUCCUACUUGUUCUAUAACGUAUCUACACUAUACUCGGCCCCAAGGUUGUUUAUAUCUGCUCUGAUUAUGCCCUUUUAAGAACAUAUCUGCAGUAUUCUUUUCUCAUUCCUCUACACCUUCAUUAUUACUUUUUCCUACAUGAUACCUGCUCCUAUAGCUUGGUUUCCCAAAGACAGAUCAGCACAUUUACUAACUCUCAUCUUAUUUCGCUAUGCAGCCUAUUACCAAAUAUUGCUCCCAACAACCAGAUGUAUUUCAAUCUGCUGUCACACCACUACUAUACAAACUAGUUUUUAAUUGUAUGAAACUGUCUGUGUAUAUUUUAUACACAGAAACAUGUUUGAAUGGUUUAUGUUAAAUAUUGUAAUGUCAUUAAAUACAUUUAACUUUCUUUUUAAGCACCAUGUGGUACUAUAGUCAGGAGUCACAGUGUGUCAUGCUUGCACACUCUUUACGCCUACGCUUCCUGCGAGCUGUGCUCAGGAAGCCAAACUUCCUCAUGAAUGACUGACAAACAUGUAAUUCUUCUCUUGAUUUUUGCAAGAAACAGCAAGGAAUUAUUGUGCAAAUAAAGAUUUUGACAAAUGCACUAGCACAUUCCAUCUUACAACACUGGGCACAGUACAGAAUAACAGACUGGAGUAGAGAAUAAUGAAUACUUUAGAUGGCUAUACAUGGGAUCAUAAAUGGGGUCCUUCCAGACCGAGUCGGCAGCUUAUUGACUGGUGUAUGUGGCCCAAUGGUGGCCCUGCUUAACCAAUACUUGGCUGAAAUUGGAUAUCAAUAUGGCAAGUUUCCUGUUUGACAAGGAGCACAUUGCCUGAGAUGAACAAGAACCAAUUAUAACUGAUGACAUCACUAAGCA